rnacentral:rRNA from 1 species
AACGAACGCUGGCGGCAGGCUUAACACAUGCAAGUCGAACGCACCGCAAGGUGAGUGGCAGACGGGUGAGUAACACGUGGGGAUCUGCCCAAUGGUACGGAAUAGCUCCGGGAAACUGGAAUUAAUACCGUAUGAGCCCGCAAGGGGAAAGAUUUAUCGCCAUUGGAUGAACCCGCGUCGGAUUAGCUAGUUGGUGUGGUAAAGGCGCACCAAGGCGACGAUCCGUAGCUGGUCUGAGAGGAUGAUCAGCCACACUGGGACUGAGACACGGCCCAGCCUCCUACGGGAGGCAGCAGUGGGGAAUAUUGGACAAUGGGCGCAAGCCUGAUCCAGCCAUGCCGCGUGAGUGAUGAAGGCCUUAGGGUUGUAAAGCUCUUUCGCCGGCGAAGAUAAUGACGGUAGUCGGAGAAGAAGCCCCGGCUAACUUCGUGCCAGCCGCCGCGGUAACAC